GAUCAUGGCUCAGGAUAAACGCUGGCGGCGCACAUAAGACAUGCAAGCCGAACGGAAGUCGUUAUAAAAAGGAUUGAAGAUUUAUCUGAUUGAGAUUUUAUAACAAUGGCUUUAGUGGCGGACUGGUGAGUAACGCGUAAGCAAUCUGCCUGUUAGAGGGGAAUAACAAUGAGAAAUCAUUGCUAAUACCGCAUAUGCCAUAGUUAUCACAUGAUAAUAGUGGGAAAGG
rnacentral:rRNA from 1 species